UUGGAUGCUGUUUCAGUUGUGUACUGGACUUCGCCUGUGUUGCCUCCAUAAUAAUAUUAUUUCGAAUAUGGCUCACAAUGAGCACUACACUUUCCUUCUGUAUUAAUGUGAAUUAUUGUUAAUAACAAGCUCUAAUUAAACUAUAUAU